rnacentral:rRNA from 1 species
GAUGAACGCUGGCGGCGUGCCUAAUACAUGCAAGUCUAGCGAACGUACUAGAAGCUUGCUUCUCUUAUGUUAGCGGCGGACUGGUGAGUAACACGUUGAUAACCUACCUAUAAGACUGGGAUAACUUCGGGAAACCGGAGCUAAUACCGGAUAAUAUUUUGAACCGCAUGGUUCAAAAGUGAAAGACGGUCUUGCUGUCACUUAUAGAUGGAUCCGCGCUGCAUUAGCUAGUUGGUAAGGUAACGGGUUACCAAGGCAACGAUGCAUAGCCGACCUGAGAUGGGGUGCUGACAGCUUGAAACUGAGACAGGGAUAUGACUCCUACGGGAGGCACGAAUAGGACAUCUACCGCAAUGGGCGAAAGCCUGACGGAGCAACGCCGCGUGAGUGAUGAAGGUCAUCGGAUCGUAAAACUCUGUUAUUAGGGAAGAACAGAUGUGUAAGUAACUGUGAACAUCUUGACGGUACCUAAGGAGAAAGCCAAGGCUAACAACUUU